rnacentral:rRNA from 1 species
GCUUACGGCCAUACCACCCUGAAUGCGCCCGAUCUCGGAAGCUAAGUAGGGUCAGCCCUGGUUAGUACUUGGAUGGGAGACCGCCUGGGAACGGCUCGUGACCC